AAAGGCCCUGGAUUCAGGACUACCUGAGUUCAAAUAUGACCUCACACACUUAAUACUUACUAGCUGUGUGACCCUAGGCAAGUCACUUAACCCCAAUUGCCUCACUUAAAAAAAAAAUUGUUUUGUAAGAGGUUUUAAUAGGGACAUCUGAGGAGUCCCUACAAGGUACCAGUUAGAGAUUACUCUUUCAUUGGAAAAGAGUUGAGAAACAGUUGUAUUUGCUAUUAAAAUUUGUUUUGUAAGAGGUUUUAAUAGGGACAUCUGAGGAGUCACUACAGGGUACCAGUUAGCGAUUACUCUUUCAUUGGAAAAGAGGUGAGAAACAGUUGUAUUUGCUAUUAAAAUUUGUUUUGUAAGAGGUUUUAAUAGGGACAUCUGAGGAGUCCCUACAAGGUACCAGUUAGAGAUUACUCUUUCAUUGGAAAAGAGUUGAGAAACAGUUGUAUUUGCUAUUAAAAUUUGUUUUGUAAGAGGUUUUAAUAGGGACAUCUGAGGAGUCACUACAGGGUACCAGUUAGCGAUUACUCUUUCAUUGGAAAAGAGUUGAGAAACAGUUGUAUUUGCUAUUAAAAUUUGUUUUGUAAGAGGUUUUAAUAGGGACAUCUGAGGAGUCCCUACAAGGUACCAGUUAGAGAUUACUCUUUCAUUGGAAAAGAGUUGAGAAACAGUUGUAUUUGCUAUUAAAAUUUGUUUUGUAAGAGGUUUUAAUAGGGACAUCUGAGGAGUCACUACAGGGUACCAGUUAGCGAUUACUCUUUCAUUGGAAAAGAGGUGAGAAACAGUUGUAUUUGCUAUUAAAAUUUGUUUGUAAGAGGUUUUAAUAGGGACAGAUGAGGAGUCACUACAAGGUGCCCCCGGGACAAGACAUCUUCUAGACUGCCCCACAAAAACGACUCCCAGAAACCAGAUAACUACACGGGACAUGUGAGUUCCAAGAUGAAAUUGCUAAUUGAAUGGCACUGGGAACACAUCACUGAAAUUACAAAGAGGCUUAGCCAUGUUUAUUGUUAUAAUCUUGGUAGUUAUUGACAUCAGUUCCAUGUGUUAUAUCUGGGGGUUGUUGCCAAAAAAUGAUGAAGAUAGAAUUUUUCAGGGAACAAAACCAGUCUUGAGAGGACACUAUUGGAUUUGUGCUUACCAGUCUCUGGCUGUGGGUUGGGUCGGGAGGGGUACCAGUCUCUGGCUGUGGGGUGGGAGGUGUACCAGUCUCUGGCUGUGGGGAGGGAGGUG